AGUGAACGCUGGCGGUAGGCCUAACACAUGCGAGUCGAACGGCAGCACAGUAAGAGCUUGCUCUUACGGGUGGCGAGUGGCGGACGGGUGAGGAAUACAUCGGAAUCUACUUUUUCGUGGGGGAUAACGUAGGGAAACUUACGCUAAUACCGCAUACGACCUACGGGUGAAAGCAGGGGAUCUUCGGACCUUGCGCGAUUGAAUGAGCCGAUGUCGGAUUAGCUAGUUGGCGGGGUAAAGGCCCACCAAGGCGACGAUCCGUAGCUGGUCUGAGAGGAUGAUCAGCCACACUGGAACUGAGACACGGUCCAGACUCCUACGGGAGGCAGCAGUGGGGAAUAUUGGACAAUGGGCGCAAGCCUGAUCCAGCCAUACCGCGUGGGUGAAGAAGGCCUUUGGGUUGUAAAGCCCUUUUGUUGGGAAAGAAAAGCAGCAGGUUAAUACCCCGCUGUUCUGACGGUACCCAAAGAAUAAGCACCGGCUAACUUCGUG
rnacentral:rRNA from 1 species